ensembl:rRNA 5S_rRNA 5S ribosomal RNA
AUCUAUGGCCGUACCACCCUGAACACGCCUGAUCUCGUCUGAUCUCGGAAACUAAGUUGGGUCAGGCCUGCUUAGUACCUGGAUGGGAGAAAUGACGUAAGUCACAACAGCUAUGCCCCAGAAGUCCCAUAGUUG